AAGCUGCGCGGGCAGGGGAGCGCGGGCACCGGGAAGGGACACCGCGCAGGGCAAGCGAGGCCGCGGAGGCGGAGGCCUCUGGGGCGGGUACCUGAGUGCAGUGAUGCAGGGAGAAGCCCCCACGUGGGAGGUGUGCAGGGGUCGGUGAGGUCAGAGACUGCAUCCAGAGGGCGUCUGGGAAUUGGGGACGGCUGGCCAGAGGAGAAGGUGGGGUGGAAAGGAGGCUGCUCCAACGAUGUGGGAUGACAGGCUUCUGGGAGGCUGAAGCUGCACCCACGGAGGGAUCCAGGAGGUGGUGGAGGCCAUACCGUGGGUGGAGGGACAACGCAAUGGAAGGGCCAGGUAGAGGCCCUGGAGUUUGGAGUAAUAGAAAAGGGAGGUGUUCUGGGGAGGGGGAGUGUGAUAGCUAGGAUGUUUGGGGGGUUGUUAUAUUCCCAGUGGAUGCUGGACCCUAUGAAGCAAAGGCCAGUCUCCCUUAGGGGUGGAGAUAGAUAUGGAAGCUGCUCAACACAUAUUGCUCACAAAUAGCCAAAAUUUGCUAAUCCGUACCAUACCAGGAAUCAAAGAGCUAACACAACCUCCACCCAAUCCAGCUAGGGAAAUGAGUGAGGCAGUUUUUAUUAGAUGAUGUUAAUCCUUCAUGCAUGCAAAAAGGGAUAUGGGGUAGAUUACAUGAACUGACAUAAUGUAAUAAUUUUCUCUUUUUAAAAUAAAGGCAGAGAACAGAAGUUGAAGACCAGUCAGCACCAAAAAGGCUGUACAAGGUGCUCUUGCCACAUGUGGGUCACCAAUGUGUGACCAGCAGAAAGAGGAAAUAUCACUUAGGAUUCACAGUGUUCUUGUCCGACGAGGAAUCAUAAUUAUUACUAUUACUGACAGUUCUAGCCAAACACCAUGGAGACCCUGGACACUGACUCCAGCAGAUGCAGAACUGACCAGAACUGGAAGCCUGGUAAGGUUAAGUGUGGAUGUUCUAAGUAAUCAGUCCAGGCAGAAAGUG
rnacentral:lncRNA from 1 species